rnacentral:rRNA from 1 species
AGAGUUUGAUCAUGGCUCAGAUUGAACGCUGGCGGCAGGCCUAACACAUGCAAGUCGAACGGUAGCAGGAUGUGCUUGCACAUCGCUGACGAGUGGCGGACGGGUGAGUAAUGCUUGGGAACUUGCCUUUGCGAGGGGGAUAACAGUUGGAAACGACUGCUAAUACCGCAUAACGUCUUCGGACCAAACGGGGCUUAGGCUCCGGCGCAGAGAGAGGCCCAAGUGAGAUUAGCUAGUUGGUGGGGUAAAGGCUCACCAAGGCAACGAUCUCUAGCUGUUCUGAGAGGAAGAUCAGCCACACUGGGACUGAGACACGGCCCAGACUCCUACGGGAGGCAGCAGUGGGGAAUAUUGCACAAUGGGGGAAACCCUGAUGCAGCCAUGCCGCGUGUGUGAAGAAGGCCUUCGGGUUGUAAAGCACUUUCAGUUGUGAGGAAAAGUUAGUAGUUAAUACCUGCUCACCGUGACGUUAACAACAGAAGAAGCACCGGCUAACUCCGUGCCAGCAGCCGCGGUAAUACGGAGGGUGCGAGCGUUAAUCGGAAUUACUGGGCGUAAAGCGCACGCAGGCGGUUUGUUAAGCUAGAUGUGAAAGCCCCGGGCUCAACCUGGGAUGGUCAUUUAGAACUGGCAGACUAGAGUCUUGGAGA